rnacentral:tRNA from 1 species
UGUGUCUUAGUAUAAGAGGUAUAAGAGUUUUUGAUACUCUAGGUGCUAGUUUGAUUCUGGCAGACGCAG